GGAAUCUACCCUUUAGUUGGGGACAACAUAUGGAAACGUAUGCUAAUACCGAAUAUGCUCUACGGAGUAAAGGUGGCCUCUACUUGUAAGCUAUCGCUAAAGGAUGAGCCCGCGUUAGAUUAGCUAGUUGGUAAGGUAAAGGCUUACCAAGGCGACGAUCUAUAGCUGGUUUGAGAGGAUGAUCAGCCACACUGGGACUGAGACACGGCCCAGACUCCUACGGGAGGCAGCAGUGGGGAAUAUUGCACAAUGAGGGAAACCUUGAUGCAGCCAUGCCGCGUGUGUGAAGAAGGCCCGAGGGUUGUAAAGCACUUUCAAUUGUGAGGAAGAUUAAGUAGCUAAUACCUGCUUAGUUUGACGUUAACUUUAGAAGAAGCACCGGCUAACUCUGUGCCAGCAGCCGCGGUAAUACAGAGGGUGCAAGCGUUAUUCGGAAUUACUGGGCGUAAAGCGCGCGUAGGCGGACUGUUAAGUCGGUUGUGAAAGCCCUGGGCUCAACCUAGGAACUGCAUCCGAUA
rnacentral:rRNA from 1 species